rnacentral:rRNA from 1 species
GGAAUCUUCCGCAAUGCGCGAAAGCGUGACGGAGCGAUGCCGCGUGCAGGAUGAAGCCCUUCGGGGUGUAAACUGCUGUCAGGGUUUAGCAACCCAAUGAGCAAGCCCAAAGGAAGGGCCGGCUAACUUCGUGCCAGCAGCCGCGGUAAUACGAAGGGCCCGAGCGUUAAGCGGAAUUACUGGGCUUAAAGCGUACGUAGGCGGGCGCGCAGGCAUCUUGUGAAAUCCCUCGGCUCAACCGAGGAAUUGCUUGGUGAACCGCGCGUCUUGAGGCAAGUAGGGGCUGUCGGAACGCUAGGUGGAGUGGUGAAAUGCGUUGAUAUCUAGCGGAACGCCGAAGGAGAAAUCAGGCAGCUGGGCUUGUUCUGACGCUGAGGUACGAAAGCGUGGGGAGCGAAC